GGCCACGCCCCCUGCAGGCACACCCUCCCCCUCACGGACUGUCCAUGGCUGCUGUGGACUCAUUGGGUGGCUCUCUGAGGCCUCUGUCCCCACGAUAUUCCAGCUCCUCAUCCUGGUGAAGGAAGCAAGGACUCGGGAGUGGACAAGCUACCAGGUCUCCAGGACUGAAGGUUAUCAUCUAAGUUGGUGUUCUCAACUGGAGGCGAUUUACCCCCCACCCAGGAGACAGUUGGCAAUGUCUGGAGGAAAUCUCUUGCCGGAAGCCGUGCCACAGAGCACACAGGCAGUUUGCAGAGAAGGAUGCAACCCACACCAUGUCCGAAGCGGGCUCUGGGGAAGGCAAGGUGUGUGACUUUGAGAAUGAGGAAUAGAGGAA
rnacentral:lncRNA from 1 species